CAAAGAGAAAGACAACACUGAGAAAACAACAUCAACAACACAGCAAAGACCCCUUCACCACUUCUUUGGUGAGUGGCCACCAAAGAACACUGAUUCAUGGCUUGAUCUUGCUUCCAACUCUAGAAUACCCUCCUCAGAUGAAUGACGUUGGUGAUUAUGUAUGAAUGUGUCUGGUCUCUGAAGAUGGAUACAGCCAAAGAAGGUGGGGGAAACUUAUUGAUAAAGAUCAAUGUUAUUGUGUGGCUGGGGUGGUUCUCUUUUGCAAAAGGUGCUGUAGUCUUUAUUUGUGUUAUGUAAGGAAAAAGGGUGGAUGGGACCACAUUAGCAUGUAUGUCUAUGCUUUUUUUCUUCUUCAUAUUUAUAAUUAUUAUUAUUAUUAUUUUA